rnacentral:rRNA from 1 species
CAUGGUUAAGUGGGAAACGAUGUGGGAAGGCCCAGACAGCCAGGAUGUUGGCUUAGAAGCAGCCAUCAUUUAAAGAAAGCGUAAUAGCUCACUGGUCGAGUCGGCCUGCGCGGAAGAUGUAACGGGGCUAAACCAUGCACCGAAGCUGCGGCAGCGACGCUUAUGCGUUGUUGGGUAGGGGAGCGUUCUGUAAGCCUGUGAAGGUGUGCUGUGAGGUAUGCUGGAGGUAUCAGAAGUGCGAAUGCUGACAUAAGUAACGAUAAAGCGGGUGAAAAGCCCGCUCGCCGGAAGACCAAGGGUUCCUGUCCAACGUUAAUCGGGGCAGGGUGAGUCGACCCCUAAGGCGAGGCCGAAAGGCGUAGUCGAUGGGAAACAGGUUAAUAUUCCUGUACUUGGUGUUACUGCGAAGGGGGGACGGAGAAGGCUAUGUUGGCCGGGCGACGGUUGUCCCGGUUUAAGCGUGUAGGCUGGUUUUCCAGGCAAAUCCGGAAAAUCAAGGCCGAGGCGUGAUGACGAGGCACUACGGUGCUGAAGCAACAAAUGCCCUGCUUCCAGGAAAAGCCUCUAAGCAUCAGGUAACAUCAAAUCGUACCCCAAACCGACACAGGUGGUCAGGUAGAGAAUACCAAGGCGCUUGAGAGAACUCGGGUGAAGGAACUAGGCAAAAUGGUGCCGUAACUUCGGGAGAAGGCACGCUGAUACGUAGGUGAAGCGACUUGCUCGUGGAGCUGAAAUCAGUCGAAGAUACCAGCUGGCUGCAACUGUUUAUUAAAAACACAGCACUGUGCAAACACGAAAGUGGACGUAUACGGUGUGACGCCUGCCCGGUGCCGGAAGGUUAAUUGAUGGGGUUAGCGCAAGCGAAGCUCUUGAUCGAAGCCCCGGUAAACGGCGGCCGUAACUAUAACGGUCCUAAGGUAGCGAAAUUCCUUGUCGGGUAAGUUCCGACCUGCACGAAUGGCGUAAUGAUGGCCAGGCUGUCUCCACCCGAGACUCAGUGAAAUUGAACUCGCUGUGAAGAUGCAGUGUACCCGCGGCAAGACGGAAAGACCCCGUGAACCUUUACUAUAGCUUGACACUGAACAUUGAGCCUUGAUGUGUAGGAUAGGUGGGAGGCUUUGAAGUGUGGACGCCAGUCUGCAUGGAGCCGACCUUGAAAUACCACCCUUUAAUGUUUGAUGUUCUAACGUGGACCCGUGAUCCGGGUUGCGGACAGUGUCUGGUGGGUAGUUUGACUGGGGCGGUCUCCUCCUAAAGAGUAACGGAGGAGCACGAAGGUUGGCUAAUCCUGGUCGGACAUCAGGAGGUUAGUGCAAUGGCAUAAGCCAGCUUGACUGCGAGCGUGACGGCGCGAGCAGGUGCGAAAGCAGGUCAUAGUGAUCCGGUGGUUCUGAAUGGAAGGGCCAUCGCUCAACGGAUAAAAGGUACUCCGGGGAUAACAGGCUGAUACCGCCCAAGAGUUCAUAUCGACGGCGGUGUUUGGCACCUCGAUGUCGGCUCAUCACAUCCUGGGGCUGAAGUAGGUCCCAAGGGUAUGGCUGUUCGCCAUUUAAAGUGGUACGCGAGCUGGGUUUAGAACGUCGUGAGACAGUUCGGUCCCUAUCUGCCGUGGGCGCUGGAGAACUGAGGGGGGCUGCUCCUAGUACGAGAGGACCGGAGUGGACGCAUCACUGGUGUUCGGGUUGUCAUGCCAAUGGCACUGCCCGGUAGCUAAAUGCGGAAGAGAUAAGUGCUGAAAGCAUCUAAGCACGAAACUUGCCCCGAGAUGAGUUCUCCCUGACCCUUUAAGGGUCCUGAAGGAACGUUGAAGACGACGACGUUGAUAGGCCGGGUGUGUAAGCGCA